rnacentral:rRNA from 1 species
GACGAACGCUGGCGGCGUGCUUAACACAUGCAAGUCGAACGGAAAGGCCCUGCUUUUGUGGGGUGCUCGAGUGGCGAACGGGUGAGUAACACGUGAGUAACCUGCCCUUGACUUUGGGAUAACUUCAGGAAACUGGGGCUAAUACCGGAUAGGAGCUCCUGCUGCCUGGUGGGGGUUGGAAAGUUUCGGCGGUUGGGGAUGGACUCGCGGCUUAUCAACUUGUUGGUGGGGUAGUGGCUUACCAAGGCUUUGACGGGUAGCCGGCCUGAGAGGGUGACCGGCCACAGUGGGACUGAGAUACGGCCCAGACUCCUACGGGAGGCAGCAGUGGGGAAUAGUGCACAAUGGGCGGAAGCCUGAUGCAGCAACGCCGCGUGCGGGAUGACGGCCUUCGGGUUGUAAACCGCUUUCGCCUGUGACGAAGCGUGAGUGACGGUAAUGGGUAAAGAAGCACCGGCUAACUACGUG